rnacentral:rRNA from 1 species
UACGAAGGGGGCUAGCGUUGCUCGGAAUCACUGGGCGUAAAGCGCACGUAGGCGGCUUGUUAAGUCAGGGGUGAAAUCCUGGAGCUCAACUCCAGAACUGCCUUUGAUACUGGCAAGCUUGGAGUCCGGGAGAGGUGAGUGGAACUGCGAGUGUAGAGGUGAAAUUCGUAGAUAUUCGCAAGAACACCAGUGGCGAAGGCGGCUCACUGGCCCGAUACUGACGCUGAGGCACGAAAGCGUGGGGAGCAAACAGGG